rnacentral:rRNA from 1 species
AGCUCCAAUAGCGUAUAUUAAAGUUGUUGCAGUUAAAAAGCUCGUAGUUGGAUUUCUGGCAUGGUGCGCCUGGCCCGCCGCGGUUACGCGUGUGAGUGCCGGCGCGCGCCUGCCAUCCUCGUAGAGAACGUUUCUACCCUUCACUGGGCCGGACUCGCGAUCUGCGUCAUUUACUUUGAAAAAAUUAGAGUGUUCAAGGCAGGCGAUCGCUGUGAAUACAUUAGCAUGGAAUAAUAACAUAGGACUUUGGUUCUAUUUUGUUGGUUUCUAGGACUGAAGUAAUGAUUGAUAGGGAUAGUUGGGGGUGCUAGUAUUCAGCGGCCAGAGGUGAAAUUCUUGGAUUCGCUGAAGACUAACUUAUGCGAAAGCAUUCACCAAGGAUGUCUUCUUUAAUCAAGAA